rnacentral:rRNA from 1 species
GAGGAAUAUUGGUCAAUGGACGAGAGUCUGAACCAGCCAAGUAGCGUGAAGGAUGAAGGUUCUAUGGAUUGUAAACUUCUUUUAUACGGGAAUAAACGAAUCCACGCGUGGAUUUUUGCAUGUACCGUAUGAAUAAGGAUCGGCUAACUCCGUGCCAGCAGCCGCGGUAAUACGGAGGAUCCGAGCGUUAUCCGGAUUUAUUGGGUUUAAAGGGAGCGUAGAUGGGUUGUUAAGUCAGUUGUGAAAGUUUGCGGCUCAACCGUAAAAUUGCAAUUGAUACUGGCAGUCUUGAGUACAGUUGAGGUAGGCGGAAUUCGUGGUGUAGCGGUGAAAUGCUUAGAUAUCACGAAGAACUCCGAUUGCGAAGGCAGCUUACUAACCUGUAACUGACAUUGAUGCUCGAAAGUGUGGGUAUCAAACAGGAUUAGAUACCCUGGUAGUCCACACGGUAAACGAUGAAUACUCGCUGUAGGCGAUAUACAGUCUGCGGCCAAGCGAAAGCAUUAAGUAUUCCACCUGGGGAGUACGCCGGCAACGGUGAAACUCAAAGGAAUUGACGGGGGCCCGCACAAGCGGAGGAACAUGUGGUUUAAUUCGAUGAUACGCGAGGAACCUUACCCGGGCUUAAAUUGCAACCGAAUAUGGCGGAAACGCUAUAGCUAGCAAUAGCGGUUGUGAAGGUGCUGCAUGGUUGUCGUCAGCUCGUGCCGUGAGGUGUCGGCUUAAGUGCCAUAACGAGCGCAACCCUUGCCGAUAGUUACUAACAGGUUAUGCUGAGGACUCUGUCGGGACUGCCAUCGUAAGAUGUGAGGAAGGUGGGGAUGACGUCAAAUCAGCACGGCCCUUACGUCCGGGGCUACACACGUGUUACAAUGGGGGGUACAGAGGGCUGCUACCACGCAAGUGGAUGCCAAUCCCAAAAACCUCUCUCAGUUCGGAUUGAAGUCUGCAACCCGACUUCAUGAAGCUGGAUUCGCUAGUAAUCGCGCAUCAGCCACGGCGCGGUGAAUACGUUCCCG